rnacentral:rRNA from 1 species
UACGAAGGGGGCUAGCGUUGUUCGGAUUUACUGGGCGUAAAGCGCACGUAGGCGGGUCGUUAAGUCAGGGGUGAAAUCCCGGAGCUCAACUCCGGAACUGCCUUUGAUACUGGCGAUCUCGAGUCCGGGAGAGGUGAGUGGAACUGCGAGUGUAGAGGUGAAAUUCGUAGAUAUUCGCAAGAACACCAGUGGCGAAGGCGGCUCACUGGCCCGGUACUGACGCUGAGGUGCGAAAGCGUGGGGAGCAAACAGG